CCGGGUUGCGGACAGUGUCUGGUGGGUAGUUUGACUGGGGCGGUCUCCUCCUAAAGAGUAACGGAGGAGCACGAAGGUUAGCUAAUCCUGGUCGGACAUCAGGAGGUUAGUGCAAAGGCAUAAGCUAGCUUGACUGCGAGAGUGACGGCUCGAGCAGGUGCGAAAGCAGGUCUUAGUGAUCCGGUGGUUCUGAAUGGAAGGGCCAUCGCUCAACGGAUAAAAGGUACUCCGGGGAUAACAGGCUGAUACCGCCCAAGAGUUCAUAUCGACGGCGGUGUUUGGCACCUCGAUGUCGGCUCAUCACAUCCUGGGGCUGAAGUAGGUCCCAAGGGUAUGGCUGUUCGCCAUUUAAAGUGGUACGCGAGCUGGGUUUAGAACGUCGUGAGACAGUUCGGUCCCUAUCUGCCGUGGGCGCUGGAGAAUUGAGGGGGGCUGCUCCUAGUACGAGAGGACCGGAGUGGACGCAUCACUGGUGUUCGGGUUGUCAUGCCAAUGGCAUUGCCCGGUAGCUAAAUGCGGAAGAGAUAAGUGCUGAAAGCAUCUAAGCACGAAACUUGCCCCGAGAUGAGUUCUCCCUGAGACUUUAAGUCUCCUGAAGGAACGUU
rnacentral:rRNA from 1 species